CUUAAAUAUGCAACUAGCUUUUUCUGGAGGGGUUUUACUGAAAUGAGUUUAGACAGAGACUGCACAGGCCUCCAGCACUGCAAGGGCAACCCGGAAGAGAGACAACUUGCUAAGCCUUUCAAAAGAAUGGGGAAGUAUUGGUUCCAGACCUGCUGCAGAGAGAGGCUCAAAGAGACUCGGCACUGGCAGAACAAAGAAACCUAGGAGGGAAGCUUUGCUCCAAAAGAGAGGUUUUGCUUCAGGAGAAGACUGUUCCAAGAAAAGGGAGACUGGCUGUUUCAAACUCAAAAAAGCUGAUCUUAUGGCUCUUAGCAAAAUAGUGGUGUCUUUAAGAGUUGAUUGGGCUCCUUCCUCCUGAGUGGGUUUAAGUACCUAACAAAAGAGGCUUCAAGCAGUAUUCAGCUCUCUUGCCCUUCCGCUCUCUGCUAUGUGAAGACACAGUGUUCCUCCCCUCUCCCUUCUGGAAGACACAGCGACAAUGUGCCAUAUCGGAAGGAAGCAGAGAACAUCCCUCACCAAAUAAUCAAUCCUGCUGGUGCCUUAAUUAUGAACUUCUCAGCCUGCAGAACUCAUGAAGGCCAUCAUCGGAUGUGGGCUGAUUGAUCUUGGACUUCCAAGCCUCCAGAACUAGAACUACUCCACCAUCAUCUGAUGUGGUUCUGAUGGCUGUGUGUUUCUCAGCUUUAUCCUCAGCCUGUGGGUAAUUUAAAAUAAAUACUUUUGCAAGUGAACCAAUAGAAAUAUUUCACUGUCAUUGGGCAGAAAGCUAAAAACCUAAUUACGUUGGAAGUAGGAAGAGGAAGUAAGUAUGGUUGGAAGAGGUGGAGUCUGGUGCUGCCAGAGCAGAAAGCACAAAGAAGAACGUGCUUUUAGGUGGGUGCCCUAAGAGACAUGAUAAGUGAAAAAGGACAUGUUUCACAGCGUGAUCUAUAUGUAACCCUUUUAAAGGAAACCGGUCUUCUCAAGUCUCUUCAGAAGCUAAAAGGAUAUUUAUAAAAGAAAUGAUGAUAUACCUCAAACCAUGGGUAUGGAACCGGAAAUAGCAAUUUGACCACAGAAGUUUUUUCACAACUCAUAUACUACUACCCAAUGAUCUAGGAUCCAUGUGGCCUCACAAAAUAUAUGAGAAUAGCCACUCAUAGUGUCAAUCUUUAGAACCUGAAUGAAAAGAAAAAAAAAAUAUGGUGAGAAGAGGAAAUGACAGAGGAGCACACAAUGGUGAUGGUGGUGAGGACAGAGAUGUGGUAGCUGCAAUCUAUUAAUGGUAAAUCACUAAAAGAAGACCCUAAAACUCCUAAAAUGCUUAAAUGACCUUGAGUUUGGAUCCAUUUCCUUGAGGGCCAGUCCUAUUACUGAUCAUCUACUUAGAUAUCUAUGAAAGCCCACUACUGAAACCACUCCAUAUGUAUUCUUUUUUUUUUUUUUUUUUUUUUUGAGACGGAGUCUUGCUCUGUCGCCCAGGCUGGAGUGCAGUGGCGCAAUCUCGGCUCACUGCAAGCUCCGCCUCCCGGGUUCAAGCUAUUCUCCUGCCUCAGCCUCCUGAGUAGCUGGGACUAUGGGCGCC
rnacentral:lncRNA from 1 species